rnacentral:rRNA from 1 species
AUUGACAGCUAGCGGGAUGCCUUACACAUGCAUGUCGAACGGAGUGGCGAACGGGUGAGUAAUGUAUCGGAACGUGCCCAGUAGCGGGGGAUAACUACGCGAAAGCGUAGCUAAUACCGCAUACUAUUGGAGCGGCCGAUAGCGGAUUGGCUAGUUGGUGGGGUAACGGCUCACCAGUGCGACGAUCCGUAGCUGGUUUGAGAGGACGACCAGCCACACUGGGACUGAGACACGGCCCAGACGCCGUCGGUAGGCAGCAGUGGGUAAUUUUGGACAAUGGGGGAAACCCUGAUCCAGCCAGCCCGCGUGUGCGAUGAAGGCCUUCGGGUUGUAAAGCACUUUUGGCAGGAAAGCGGUACCUGCAGAAUAAGCACCGGCUAACUACAUGCCAGCCGCCGAGGUAAUAC